GGCUAAAGACAAAAGGAAAUCCAAUUUAGGGUCAUCUAUAAUCCCAAACAAAGAUCGAAAACCAAUCAUGAGAAGACCUUUUGGCCCGCAUCAUCUGAGUCACCGCAUGAUUCGUGCCUAGCGCCUGUUUCCAGCUGAGGUGACUAUUUCGAAUUCUAAUUCCAAAAGCUGGUCUCACUUGUGAAUAUUCUCACGACAAUCUCGUUCUUCUUCCUCAUCAUAAACAAGUGGCAUCGAUUCGAGAUUUGAUGGAACUGCUAAUGCUACCGUCUACAUCGCUAAGAGACCACGAUCAAGAUGUUAUUUCAAGCGUACGCAAUAACAGGCCGGAAAAUGUAUCUCAGUAAGCCAAAGAGACCUAAACCUUGAGAAAGCCGAUGCUCUAGAGGAGAAGGUUUUUGGCCGCGUCACGAAUGAUCAUCAUGUCAAAUCAGAAGGAUGAACCACCAAACGUGACGAGACUCGAUACUAUGUUAACAACAUCCUUCAAACGAUAAAGCAGGCAGCGAGGAAAGAACUGAAAUGGAUCCAUCUCCGUCUUAAUAUGGAGCACGGGUGGUCGUUUGGAUUAAAUUUUCAAGGCGCUGCGACUACAUACUGCGCAUGACGUCACUGCCCGCGAAAUUUUGGGAGCUGGGUACGAGUCGCCUCGUCCAACUAACAUCCAAGCUUAGUUCUAUGCAGUCUGGCCUCGAACCUUUUUAGCUUUCCGAGAGCACUCCAAAGGAAGCCUACACAAACGCAAGGUGAGGCUCUAAUACUGUAUAAUCAAACGGUCUAAUGAAAUACCGUUCAACGGUCAAAAGUUCUCUCGAUUGUGCGUUUAUACCUUACAAAAGAAACAUAAAUGAACACCGUCGCGCUUUGUUGGCCGCCAUGUUUUGACAAGAACAUAACGCAAUUUCGUCGCCAAAUUCAAGCAAACACGACUUCCAGACUCUCUUUUCGGUGAUUUAUCACACCAAGAACAUACAAUCGAAUACCACACGCGGUAAAUCAUGGACGUUGCACACGCAAAGGACAAAAAAAUACUACGUAAUGCUCGCUGGUUGCAAAGCAAUCGUUUUGUUAACCUUAUUCGAGGAGACCAUCACUUGGAUUUGUUAAAGGGAACAAUUUCACCGCAAUGAAAGGAAAUGAACGGUUUUAUCAUGUUACAAACGGCAACAGUUUCAGCUUUAUUGACAGCUGUUAUCAAGGUGCAAGGCUACAAGCGAAACAUCACACAGUUAUCGUGAACAAAGAUCCCCAGGUUAUAAACCAAAGAUAUUUAACUUUAAUGUUGUCAUAAGUCAUUCAAGACUCGUUUAAAACAAGCACUGGACAUACUCUAGAUAAGAACUUCGAAAGCAUAUUAAACCCAGCCUCUGUAUGCAUUGGUACGCAA